rnacentral:rRNA from 1 species
AUUGAACGCUGGCGGCAGGCCUAACACAUGCAAGUCGAACGGUAGCACAGAGAGCUUGCUCUCGGGUGACGAGUGGCGGACGGGUGAGUAAUGUCUGGGAAACUGCCCGAUGGAGGGGGAUAACUACUGGAAACGGUAGCUAAUACCGCAUAAUGUCGCAAGACCAAAGAGGGGGACCUUCGGGCCUCUUGCCAUCGGAUGUGCCCAGAUGGGAUUAGCUUGUAGGUGAGGUAACGGCUCACCUAGGCGACGAUCCCUAGCUGGUCUGAGAGGAUGACCAGCCACACUGGAACUGAGACACGGUCCAGACUCCUACGGGAGGCAGCAGUGGGGAAUAUUGCACAAUGGGCGCAAGCCUGAUGCAGCCAUGCCGCGUGUAUGAAGAAGGCCUUCGGGUUGUAAAGUACUUUCAGCGGGGAGGAAGGGAGUGAGGUUAAUAACCUUAUUCAUUGACGUUACCCGCAGAAGAAGCACCGGCUAACUCCGUGCCAGCAGCCGCGGUAAUACGGAGGGUGCAAGCGUUAAUCGGAAUUACUGGGCGUAAAGCGCACGCAGGCGGUCUGUCAAGUCGGGUGUGAAAUCCCCGGGCUCAACCUGGGAACUGCAUUCGAAACUGGCAGGCUGGAGUCUUGUAGAGGGGGGUAGAAUUCCAGGUGUAGCGGUGAAAUGCGUAGAGAUCUGGAGGAAUACCGGUGGCGAAGGCGGCCCCCUGGACAAAGACUGACGCUCAGGUGCGAAAGCGUGGGGAGCAAACAGGAUUAGAUACCCUGGUAGUCCACGCUGUAAACGAUGUCGACUUGGAGGUUGUUCCCUUGAGGAGUGGCUUCCGGAGCUAACGCGUUAAGUCGACCGCCUGGGGAGUACGGCCGCAAGGUUAAAACUCAAAUGAAUUGACGGGGGCCCGCACAAGCGGUGGAGCAUGUGGUUUAAUUCGAUGCAACGCGAAGAACCUUACCUACUCUUGACAUCCAGAGAACUUAGCAGAGAUGCUUUGGUGCCUUCGGGAACUCUGAGACAGGUGCUGCAUGGCUGUCGUCAGCUCGUGUUGUGAAAUGUUGGGUUAAGUCCCGCAACGAGCGCAACCCUUAUCCUUUGUUGCCAGCGGUCCGGCCGGGAACUCAAAGGAGACUGCCAGUGAUAAACUGGAGGAAGGUGGGGAUGACGUCAAGUCACCAUGGCCCUUACGAGUAGGGCUACACACGUGCUACAAUGGCAUAUACAAAGAGAAGCGACCUCGCGAGAGCAAGCGGACCUCAUAAAGUAUGUCGUAGUCCGGAUUGGAGUCUGCAACUCGACCCCAUGAAGUCGGAAUCGCUAGUAAUCGUGGAUCAGAAUGCCACGGUGAAUACGUUCCCGGGCCU